rnacentral:misc_RNA from 1 species
CCGAGUUUACAACUCCCAAACCCCUGUGAACAUACCUUAUCGUUGCCUCGGCGGAUCAGCCCGCGCCCCGUAAAAAGGGACGGCCCGCCGCAGGAACCCCUAAACUCUGUUUUUAGUGGAACUUCUGAGUAUAACAAACAAAUAAAUCA